AGUUCGGAUUGCAGGCUGCAACCCGCCUGUAUGAAGUUGGAAUCGCUAGUAAUCGCGGAUCAGCAUGCCGCGGUGAAUACGUUCCCGGGCCUUGUACACACCGCCCGUCACACCAUGAGAGUCGGGAACACCCGAAGUCCGUAGCCUAACCGCAAGGAGGGCGCGGCCGAAGGUGGGUUCGAUAAUUGGGGUGAAGUCGUAACAAGGUAUC
rnacentral:rRNA from 1 species